rnacentral:rRNA from 1 species
GAUGAACGCUGGCGGCGUGCCUAAUACAUGCAAGUCGAGCGAACAGACGAGGAGCUUGCUCCUCUGACGUUAGCGGCGGACGGGUGAGUAACACGUGGAUAACCUACCUAUAAGACUGGGAUAACUUCGGGAAACCGGAGCUAAUACCGGAUAAUAUAUUGAACCGCAUGGUUCAAUAGUGAAAGACGGUUUUGCUGUCACUUAUAGAUGGAUCCGCGCCGCAUUAGCUAGUUGGUAAGGUAACGGCUUACCAAGGCAACGAUGCGUAUCCGACCUGAGAGGGUGAUCGGCCACACUGGAACUGAGACACGGUCCAGACUCCUACGGGAGGCAGCAGUAGGGAAUCUUCCGCAAAGGGCGAAAGCCUGACGGAGCAACGCCGCGUGAGUGAUGAAGGUCUUCGGAUCGUAAAACUCUGUUAUUAGGGAAGAACAAAUGUGUAAGUAACUAUGCACGUCUUGACGGUACCUAAUCAGAAAGCCACGGCUAACUACGUG